AGUGAAAUCUUUGAGAUGGCUUAAUAGUAGAUGCUAGAAUUUUAUCUUUCUGUUUGUUCUAUCUGUCUGAGACUGGGUUGGCUCAAAUUUCUUCUGAGUUAGCUAACAUGAUUACUUGAUUGGUUAACUAAUUUUUUGGAUUGACUUAGAAGACUUGAUAAUUUAUAUUAUUUUUAUAUUUUUCUAUCUUCAAGACUGAGUUAGCUAUCUUUCUUUAUGAGUCGGCUCAGCUUCAAUC
rnacentral:lncRNA from 1 species